AAGGAGUUAGUUAAUAAAUAACACUGGUAUGUCAAGCCAAAAUAACUGAUUCAUAGUACUCCUUU
rnacentral:tRNA from 1 species